UGGGGAAUCUUGCGCAAUGGGCGAAAGCCUGACGCAGCAACGCCGCGUGUGUGAUGAAGGUCUUCGGAUCGUAAAGCACUGUCGCGAGGGACGAAUAAGGGACGGGCGAACAGUCCGUUUCGAUGACGGUACCUCGAGAGGAAGCACCGGCUAACUCUGUGCCAGCAGCCGCGGUAAUACAGAGGGUGCGAGUGUUGUUCGGAAUUAUUGGGCGUAAAGCGCGUGUAGGCGGCCUAGCAAGUCGGAUGUGAAAGCCCUCGGCUUAACCGGGGAAGUGCGUUCGAAACUACAGGGCUUGAGCACCGGAGAGGGUGGCGGAAUUCCCGGUGUAGAGGUGAAAUUCGUAGAUAUCGAGAGGAACACCAGUGGCGAAGGCGGUCACCUGGACGGAUACUGACGCUGAGACGCGAAAGCGUGGGUAGCAAACA
rnacentral:rRNA from 1 species